AGUGAACGCUGGCGGUAGGCCUAACACAUGCAAGUCGAACGGCAGCACAGUAAGAGCUUGCUCUUACGGGUGGCGAGUGGCGGACGGGUGAGGCAUACAUCGGAAUCUACUUUUUCGUGGGGGAUAACGUAGGGAAACUUACGCUAAUACCGCAUACGUCCUACGGGUGAAAGCAGGGGAUCUUCGCACCUUGCGCGAUUGAAUGAGCCGAUGUCGGAUUAGCUAGUUGGCGGGGUAAAGGCCCACCAAGGCGACGAUCCGUAGCUGGUCUGAGAGGAUGAUCAGCCACACUGGAACUGAGACACGGUCCAGACUCCUACGGGAGGCAGCAGUGGGGAAUAUUGGACAAUGGGCGCAAGCCUGAUCCAGCCAUACCGCGUGGGUGAAGAAGGCCUUCGGGUUGUAAAGCCCUUUUGUUGGGAAAGAAAAGCAGCAGGUUAAUACCCCGCUGUUCUGACGGUACCCAAAGAAUAAGCACCGGCUAACUUCGUG
rnacentral:rRNA from 1 species